rnacentral:ncRNA from 1 species
GAACUUAAAUGCUUAGGUUCGAUGCUAAAGGUGCAGUAAUGUAAAUAUAUAGAUCUUACUUUAAUGAUUUUUUUUAAGCUUGCUAGCUGUGAGUUAAUUUAGAUAAUUAUUUAACUUUUAACUUUAGUUAUAGUUUUCUGUGAAUAAGUGUCCCAAUAGAGUGCCAGCAGGCGUGGUUAGACUGAACACUUACUUUAGCUUAUUGUCUUUUUAAUUUAACUUUUAUUUAGCAAAUAACUGGUAAAAUAGGUAGUGUGCUACAUCAAGUUAGUUAAUAUUAUUCUGUUAAAAGACAAGGAUUAGAUACCCUUUUAUAUCAGAUGAAACUUUUUAUGAUAAUUAUGUUUAAAAUUCAAACAAUUUGGCGGUAAGGAAAGAACUCAGAGAAACCUGAGAAUUAAUUGGAUGAUCCACCAGUACUAUCUCUUAACAUGUUUGUUACCUGUAUGUCUGUUUAGAUUAUCGUUAGCUCUUUAAUCUCUUUUAUUUUAAAAAUAUAAAUUCAGGUCGAUAUAGGGAUUGUUGUUAAGUUUACUUGGGUUGCAUUUAAGCUUAUUAGUAACUCAAUUAGUAUGAGUUUAAUUUGGAUUUGAAAGUAAAUAUUUGUGUAAAUAUAUUGAAUUCUCCUUUUCUUAAGUACAAAUCGCCCGUCACCUCUGUUACAAAAUAAACUGAGUAAGUCGAAACAAAGUAGGUUGGCUGGAAGGGUAACCUGUAUG